rnacentral:rRNA from 1 species
GAUGAACGCUGGCGGCGUGCCUAAUACAUGCAAGUCGAGCGAACAGAUGAGGAGCUUGCUCCUCUGACGUUAGCGGCGGACGGGUGAGUAACAUGUGGAUAACCUACCUAUAAGACUGGGAUAACUUCGGGAAACCGGAGCUAAUACCGGAUAAUAUAUUGAACCGCAUGGUUCAAUAGUGAAAGACGGUUUUGCUGUCACUUAUAGAUGGAUCCGCGCCGCAUUAGCUAGUUGGUAAGGUAACGGCUUACCAAGGCAACGAUGCGUAGCCGACCUGAGAGGGUGAUCGGCCACACUGGAACUGAGACACGGUCCAGACUCCUACGGGAGGCAGCAGUAGGGAAUCUUCCGCAAUGGGCGAAAGCUUGACGGAGCAACGCCGCGUGAGUGAUGAAGGUCUUCGGAUCGUAAAACUCUGUUAUUAGGGAAGAACAAAUGUGUAAGUAACUAUGCACGUCUUGACGGUACCUAAUCAGAAAGCCACGGCUAACUACGUG